rnacentral:rRNA from 1 species
UACGUAGGUGGCAAGCGUUGUCCGGAUUUACUGGGCGUAAAGAGCGCGCAGGCGGUCGUGGCAAGUCGCGUGUGAAAGCCCCCGGCUCAACUGGGGAGGGUCACGCGAUACUGCUCGACUCGAAGGCAGGAGAGGGAAGUGGAAUUCCCGGUGUAGUGGUGAAAUGCGUAGAUAUUGGGAGGAACACCGGUGGCGAAGGCGGCCCCCUGGACCGGUACUGAUGCUGAGGCGCGAAAGCUAGGGGAGCAAACAGG